UAGCGGGGGGUGCGAGCGUUGUCCGGGAAUCACUGGGCGUAAAGGGCGCGUAGGUGGCGUGAUAAGGGUGUGGGUGAAAGCCCGGGGCUCAACCCCCGGGUCUGCCAUGCCGACUGUCAGGCUAGAGUACUGUAGGGGCAGGCGGAAUUCCGGGUGUAGCGGUGGAAUGCGUAGAGAUCCGGAGGAACACCGGUGGCGAAGGCGGCCACCUG
rnacentral:rRNA from 1 species